ACCGGCAGCUCAAGUGGUGGCCAUUAUUAUUGGGCCUAAAGCGUUCGUAGCCGGUUUGAUAAGUCUCUGGUGAAAUCCCGCAGCUUAACUGUGGGACUUGCUGGAGAUACUAUCAGACUUGAGGUCGGGAGAGGUUAGGGGUACUCCCAGGGGUGGGGUUGAAACCUAAUAUCCCGGGAGGAGCAACUGUGGCGAAGGGGGCUUACUGGAACGAACCUGACGGUGAGUAACGAAAGCCAGGGGCGCGAACCG
rnacentral:rRNA from 1 species